rnacentral:rRNA from 1 species
ACAGCAGCAGCCACGGUAAUACGUAGGUGGCAAGCGUUGUCCGGAAUUAUUGGGCGUAAAGCGCGCGCAGACGGAUAGGUCAGUCUGUCUUAAAAGUUCGGGGCUUAACCCCGUGAUGGGAUGGAAACUGCCAAUCUAGAGUAUCGGAGAGGAAAGUGGAAUUCCUAGUGUAGCGGUGAAAUGCGUAGAUAUUAGGAAGAACACCAGUGGCGAAGGCGACUUUCUGGACGAAAACUGACGCUGAGGCGCGAAAGCCAGGGGAGCGAACGGGAUUAGAUACCCCCGUAGUCCCUGUCUCUUAUACA